rnacentral:rRNA from 1 species
AUUGAACGCUGGCGGCAGGCCUAACACAUGCAAGUCGAACGGUAACAGGAAACAGCUUGCUGUUUCGCUGACGAGUGGCGGACGGGUGAGUAAUGUCUGGGAAACUGCCCGAUGGAGGGGGAUAACUACUGGAAACGGUAGCUAAUACCGCAUAACGUCGCAAGACCAAAGAGGGGGACCUUCGGGCCUCUUGCCAUCGGAUGUGCUCAGAUGGGAUUAGCUAGUAGGUGGGGUAACGGCUCACCUAGGCGACGAUCCCUAGCUGGUCUGAGAGGAUGACCAGCCACACUGGAACUGAGACACGGUCCAGACUCCUACGGGAGGCAGCAGUGGGGAAUAUUGCACAAUGGGCGCAAGCCUGAUGCAGCCAUGCCGCGUGUAUGAAGAAGGCCUUCGGGUUGUAAAGUACUUUCAGCGGGGAGGAAGGGAGUAAAGUUAAUACCUUUGCUCAUUGACGUACCCGCAGAAGAGCACCGU